rnacentral:lncRNA from 1 species
GAGACAGAGUCUCACUCUGUCACCCAGGUUGGAAUGCAGUGGCACAAUCUCAAUUCACUGCAACCUCCGCCUCCUGGGUUCAAGUGAUUCUCCUGCCUCAGCCUCCCUAGUAACUGGGAUUACAGGUGUGUGCCACCAUGCCCAGCUAAUUUUUGUAUUUUUAGUAGGAAGGGGUUUCACCAUGUUGGCCAGGCUCGUCACAAACUCCUGACCUCAGGUGGAUCACCUGAGGUCAGGAGUUAAAGACCAGCCUGGCCAACAUGGCAAAACCCCAUCUCUACAAAAUAUACAAAAAUUAGCCGGGCAUGGUGGCAGGUGCCUCCAAUCCCAGCUACUCAGGAGGCUGAGGCAGGAGAAAGGCUUGAACCUGGAAGGCGGAGGUUGCAGUUAGCCAAGAUCAUGCCAUUGCAGUCCAGCCUGGGCAACAGAGUGAGACUCUGUCUCCAAAAAAAAAAAAAAAAAAAAAAAAUAAUCCAAGCCAGCCUUAGGUCUUAGUCCCUUCAGCAGCUGAAUGUUACCCUAAGCCAAUAAGAGAUUGACCUAAACACUUCAGCAACUCUAAAAAUUUCAGGAGCAGUUUUUCAGAGCCUAUGAAAUCUGAGCCAUGAACUUGGUUGUCACUAGUGUUUUAUUUUAUUAUAUUACCACCACGUUGAGUAAAUGCCAUAUGUCAUACAUUUAAUCCUUAGAACAGGCCACAAGGUAGAUAGUAGAUGCCCAUUUUACGGCAUCUGAGAAGACUAAGUGACCAACUUGGGACAAAUAGCAAGUGAGUAAAGAGCCACAAUUACAAAGUAGGUAGAGGUUUUCAAGCCAUGCAUUUAUUUCUUUUUUACCUUUUUCCCUGUAGUCUACAAAUGCGGCAUUGGUAAAGUAGGAGAGUAGAUACAUAUCAGUAAGUGCUCAUCAACCAAGCACUGCAACACUGGAAGAAGUCCAAAUCCUAGAAAGUUAAAAAAUCAUCCUGGCUGGGCACGGACUCAUGCCUGUAAUCCCAGCACUUUGGGAGGCUGAGGCAGGUGGAUCACCUGAGGUCAAGAGUUCGAGACCAGGCCGGUCACGGUGGCUCACACCUGUAAUCCCAGCACUUUGGGAGGCCAAGGUGGGCGGAUCACGAGGUCAGGAGAUUGAGACCAUCCUGGCUAACACGGUAAAAAAC